GGCCUACGGGUGGCAGCAGUGGGGAAUAUUGCACAAUGGGCGCAAGCCUGAUGCAGCAACGCCGCGUGAGUGAUGAAGGCCUUCGGGUUGUAAAACUCUGUCCUAUGGGAAGAAACAAAUGACGGUAUCAUAGGAGGAAGCCCCGGCUAACUACGUGCCAGCAGCCGCGGUAAUACGUAGGGGGCAAGCGUUAUCCGGAAUCACUGGGCGUAAAGGGUGCGUAGGCGGCUUAUCAAGCCAGGGGUGAAAGGCAUUGGCUCAACCAAUGUAAGCCUUUGGAACUGAUAGGCUUGAGUGCAGGAGAGGUAAGUGGAAUUCCUAGUGUAGAGGUGAAAUUCGUAGAUAUUAGGAGGAACACCAGUGGCGAAGGCGACUUACUGGACUGUAACUGACGCUGAGGCACGAAAGCGUGGGUAGCGAACAGGAUUAGAUACCCGUGUAGUC
rnacentral:rRNA from 1 species